GUGGGGAAUAUUGGACAAUGGGCGCAAGCCUGAUCCAGCCAUGCCGCGUGAGUGAUGAAGGCCUUAGGGUUGUAAAGCUCUUUUGUCCGGGAAGAUAAUGACUGUACCGGAAGAAUAAGCCCCGGCUAACUUCGUGCCAGCAGCCGCGGUAAUACGAAGGGGGCUAGCGUUGUUCGGAAUCACUGGGCGUAAAGCGCACGUAGGCGGACCAUUAAGUCAGGGGUGAAAGCCUGGAGCUCAACUCCAGAACUGCCUUUGAUACUGAUGGUCUCGAGUAUGGAAGAGGUUGGUGGAACUGCGAGUGUAGAGGUGAAAUUCGUAGAUAUUCGCAAGAACACCGGUGGUGAAGGCGGCCAACUGGUCCAUUACUGACGCUGAGGUGCGAAAGCGUGGGGAGCAAACAGGAUUAGAUACCCGGGUAGUCC
rnacentral:rRNA from 1 species